AGUAGCCGCGGGAAUACGGAGGGUGCGAGCGUUAAUCGGAAUUACUGGGCGUAAAGCGUACGCAGGCGGUUUGUUAAGUCAGAUGUGAAAUCCCCGAGCUUAACUCGGGAACUGCGUUUGAAACUGGCAGGCUAGAGUCUCGUAGAGGGGGGUAGAAUUCCAGGUGUAGCGGUGAAAUGCGUAGAGAUCUGAAGGAAUACCGGUGGCGAAGGCGGCCCCCUGGACGAAGACUGACGCUCAGGUACGAAAGCGUGGGGAGCAAACAGGAUUAGAUACCCGGGUAGUCCCUGUCUCUUAUACA
rnacentral:rRNA from 1 species